rnacentral:lncRNA from 1 species
AUGGCAUCACCAGAGGAGGCGGCUGGAGAGCCGACGGGAGGCAGACAGGCUCCCCCGGCAGGGGCUGGCCACGGUGCAGCGGGGACCCCGGGCCAGGCCCCCCCUAGACCCAAGGUUUGGGCCACGGUGGCCCCUGCCACCCCGGGACGGUCAGGCGAGCGGCUGCCAUCCCCCGCGUGCCCCUCCCACAACGUCCUGUGGGAGCCCCGGGGCUGCGAGCACGCAGGGGGGGGGGGCUCCUCGGGGGCGGGGCGCGGGAGGAGCGGGGGCGCCACCGGCCAUGCAGCCACCUCGGCCUGGAAGAGGCCCUGCUGCUGCCGGCUGGGCUGGGGCCGCCCUGGGGCUCGGCAUCCGCGUCAGGGCGCCCGGUCCGUCCUGCUGUCUGACCGGCCACGAGCUCGGGGCACCCGGGUGCUGACCCGCAGGCCAGGAAGCAGGUGGGAGGGGUGCCCGCGGCCGCCAGGCGUCCAGGUGCUUGUGGGGCACGGGCCGUCGAGUCGUGGCGCAGAAGCCGGCUGCCCACUCGGGGUGGGGGCGCCGCAGGUCACGGGUCCUGCAGGUGGCCCGCUGCCUGCUUUGGGUUUCCUCUGCCCCUCGCUCCCUCGUGUCCUAGGGACCGAAGAUGAUGGAUCUGUGAUCUGCGAUUGGCGUUGCGUGCUGGGAAUUUCCUGCUCAGCUGAAUCCCACUUCUUUGUAUUUUUUUUAUUAUUAUUAUUAUUAUUAUUAAUCAUCAUUUUUGAGCUUUCUCCUUUGACCUCCGGGUUAUGUGGAAGGCUGUGGUUCUGCUUCCAGGUGACGGGAGACCUUUGUGUUGUCCCCGGGUUACUGGCUUCCAGCUGGGUUCCCCUGGGGUCUGAGGAUCGUCGGCGGUCGCCGUCCUCACGUGCGGGACACGGGGGGCCCUCGGAUCGUGAUGGCACAGGAGGCAGAGGCCGAGCCCUGUGCCCCUGUGGCCUCCAGGGCCCCCGGCCCCAGCAGCGUUGGGUGGGGUGUGGGAGCCAGCGGCCGGCACCUCUAGGGCCGCCCCGUCCUGCUCGUCCCGUCCGUCCUGGUCCCCUUGCCCAGCCCCCCCGUUGGAUGGCCCGCGGUGGGGGCACCCUCUCCAACCCACUGGCCCCGGCGUUGCCCCGGUGA